AUUGAACGCUGGCGGCAGGCCUAACACAUGCAAGUCGAGCGAGCGGCGGACGGGUGAGUAAUGUCUGGGAAACUGCCUGCUGGAGGGGGAUAACUACUGGAAACGGUAGCUAAUACCCCAUACCCUCUCAUGUGCCCAGAUGGGAUUGGCUGGUUGGGGGGGUAACGGCUCACCUAGGCGACGAUCCCUAGCUGGUCUGAGAGGAUGAGCCGCCACACUGGAACUGAGACACGGUCCAGACUCCUACGGGAGGCAGAAGUGGGGAAUAUUGCACAAUGGGCGCAAGCCUGAUGCAGCAAUGCCGCGUGUGGGAAGAAGGCCUUCGGGUUGUAAAGCACUUUCAGCGGGGAGGCGUUACCCGAAGAAGAAGCACCGGCUAACUCCGUGCCAGCAGCCGCGGUAAUUC
rnacentral:rRNA from 1 species